rnacentral:rRNA from 1 species
AGAGGCGAACGGGUUAGUAAUACGUAGAUACAAACCCUAGAAACAGGCAUAACUCGGAGAAAUCCGAGCUAAUACCUGAUAGUCCCGCAAGGGUAAAGGUGAAGAGCAAUCUUUUCCGUUCUAGGAUUGGUCUACGGCCUAUCAGCUAGUUGGUAAGGUAAUGGCUUACCAAGGCGAUGACGGGUAGGGGAUGUGAGAGCAUGUUCCCCAACACUGGGACUGCGAUACGGCCCAGACUCCUACGGGAGGCUGCAGUCUAGAAGAUUGGUCAAUGGGCGAAAGCCUGAACCAGCGACGCCGCGUGCUUGAAGAAACCCUUCGGGGUGUAAAAAGCUUUUGCGCGAGAAGAAGCUUCGGCUGACGUUAUCGCGCGAAUAAGGGGGUGCUAACUCUGUGCCAGCAGCAGCGGUAAUACAGAGCCCCCAAGCGUUAUCCGGAUUUAUUGGGCGUAAAGAGUCUGUAGGCGGUCUGCCAGGUUUUCUGUUAAAUCUCUAGGGCUUAACCUUAGAGCUGCAGAAAAAACCGGCGGGCUAGAGGGCGCUAGAGGCUGAUGGAACGGUCGGUGUAGGGGUGAAAUCCGUUGAUAUCGACCGGAACACCAAAAGCGAAGGCAAUCAGCUGGGGCGACCCUGACGCUGAGAGACGAAAGCGUGGGGAGAAAAAAGGAUUAGAUACCCUUGUAUUCCACGCUGUAAACGAUGGACACUGGCUAUUUGAAGUGUCGACCCUUCAAGUGGCGAAGCUAACGCGUUAAGUGUCCCGCCUGGGAAGUACGGCCGCAAGGCUAAAACUCAAAG